rnacentral:rRNA from 1 species
UACGAAGGGGACUAGCGUUGUUCGGAAUCACUGGGCGUAAAGCGCACGUAGGCGGAUAUGUCAGUCAGGGGUGAAAUCCCGGGGCUCAACCUCGGAACUGCCUUUGAUACAGCAUGUCUUGAGUCCGAUAGAGGUGGGUGGAAUUCCUAGUGUAGAGGUGAAAUUCGUAGAUAUUAGGAAGAACACCGGUGGCGAAGGCGGCCCACUGGAUCGGUACUGACGCUGAGGUGCGAAAGCUAGGGGAGCAAACAGG